GACGAACGCUGGCGGCGUGCUUAACACAUGCAAGUCGAACGGUGACGAGGAGCUUGCUCCUCUGAUCAGUGGCGAACGGGUGAGUAACACGUGAGCAACCUACCCUUGACACUGGGAUAACAGUUGGAAACAGCUGCUAAUACCGGAUACGACCCUGGCGGGCAUCUGCCGGGGUGGAAAGCUCCGACGGUCAAGGAUGGGCUCGCGGCCUAUCAGCUUGUUGGUGAGGUAACGGCUCACCAAGGCGACGACGGGUAGCCGGCCUGAGAGGGCGACCGGCCACACUGGGACUGAGAUACGGCCCAGACUCCUACGGGAGGCAGCAGUGGGGAAUAUUGCGCAAUGGGCGAAAGCCUGACGCAGCAACGCCGCGUGCGGGAUGAAGGCCUUCGGGUUGUAAACCGCUUUCAGCAGGGACGAAGGAUUUCUGACGGUACCUGCAGAAGAAGCACCGGCUAACUACGUGCCAGCAGCCGCGGUGAUACGUAGGGUGCGAGCGUUGUCCGGAAUUAUUGGGCGUAAAGAGCUCGUAGGCGGUCUGUUGCGUCGGAAGUGAAAACUCAGGGCUUAACCCUGAGCCUGCUUUCGAUACGGGCAGACUUGAGGGAUGUAGGGGAGAACGGAAUUCCUGGUGGAGCGGUGGAAUGCGCAGAUAUCAGGAGGAACACCAGUGGCGAAGGCGGUUCUCUGGACAUUACCUGACGCUGAGGAGCGAAAGCGUGGGGAGCAAACAGGCUUAGAUACCCUGGUAGUCCACGCCGUAAACGGUGGGCACUAGGUGUGGGGUCCUUCCACGGACUCCGUGCCGAAGCUAACGCAUUAAGUGCCCCGCCUGGGGAGUACGGCCGCAAGGCUAA
rnacentral:rRNA from 1 species